rnacentral:rRNA from 1 species
UACGUAGGCGGAAAAUUAAGUCAGUAGUGAAAUCCUGCAGCUUAACUGUAGAACUGUUAUUGAUACUGGUUUUCUUGAAUAUAGUUGAGGUAGGCGGAAUGUGUAAUGUAGCGGUGAAAUGCUUAGAUAUUACACAGAACACCGAUUGCGAAGGCAGCUUACUACGCUAUGAUUGACGCUGAGGUACGAAAGCGUGGGGAGCGAACAGGAUUAGAUACCCUGGUAGUCC